UAGUUUUCCAACAGUGUUCGAAGGCAUCACAACAAGAAAUUCUAUUUCUGUGGCUGACGUAAAUUUUCCUCACCCAAAAAGCGCAAACAACUCCCUCUGUGAAAAAGGAAUAGCAAGGACGGAUUCGUAAUAAAAAUAACUUGCAUUCACAUUUUUCGUAAAAUUGGCGACAAGCUAUCGCAACGAAAAGACAAGA